AGUGUUUUUUUAGACGGUGCGAUUCGGAUAAAGGGACCMUGGGCGUAAGCCCCGGUCUCAGACGACGUCCACUGAUCCUUGGUACGUCGGUGUUCUCUCUGGAGUCUGGGCGCUCGUGUGUGUGCGCGAUGUCUCUCUCUUGUCAAGGCCCGUGUCAAAGCGGCGUUGCGGCGAGGGUGUGGGCUCGUCUCAUGCGCGGCGUCUGUCUCUCUCGGGGGGCUCAUUGACAAAGUGCCUCGGAGUACGUUUCUUCUUAGAGGGAUUGACGACUCAUAAGUCGUAAGAAACAGGGAGCAAUAACAGGUCUGUGAUGCCCUUAGAUGUUCUGGGCUGCACGCGUGUUACAAUGCCGGUAUCAACGGGUUCUUACACUCUUAGUGGCCUACUCCGAAAGGAGCGGGUAAACCUUUGAAAUACCAACUGCUGCCAUACUUCUCGUACGGCGCAUUUACGGCAUGCUUGGGACUGGGGAUUGCAAUUAUUCCCCACGAACUAGGAAUGCCUUGUAGUGGCGGGUCACAGAACCCGCUGCGAAUCUGUCCCUGCCCUUUGUACACACCGCCCGUCGCUACUACCGAUUGAGUGUACCAGUGAGAUUUUUGGACUGGCGAACCGCGUGCCUUCACGGGCUCGCGGCGUACGACAACAAGAGACUCGAACUGGUGCACUUAGAGGGAAGUAAAAGUCGUAACAAGGUUU
rnacentral:rRNA from 1 species